UUAGCAAAGGAACAGCCUCGUAAUGCAGUCGGACGCUUCUAUUCCUCCCGAAGGUGCUUCCACUCAAAUUAAGAAAGAGGAGUGGCGGGACGGGUGAGUAUAACACGGGGGGUAACCUACCCACUCAGAGGGGGAUAACCACUUGGAAAACAGGGGCUUAAUACCCCAUAACACGUUUAUUGCCGCCAUGGCAUAAGAGUGAAAAGGCGCCUUUUCGGGUGUUCCGCUGAUGGAAGGACCCCCCGGUGCAUUUAGCUAGUUGGUGAGGUAACGGCUCACCAAGGCCCACGAUGCAUAGCCGACCUGAGAAGGUGAUCGGCCCACACUGGGACUGAGACACGGCCCCAGACUCCUACGGGAGGCAGCAGUAGGGAAUCUUCGGCAAUGGACGAAAGUCUGACCGAGCAACGCCGCGUGAGUGAAGAAGGUUUUCGGAUCGUAAAACUCUGUUGUUAGAGAAGAACAAGGACGUUAGUAACUGAACGUCCCCUGACGGUAUCUAACCAGAAAGCCACGGCUAACUACGUGCCAGCAGCCGCGGUAAUACGUAGGUGGCAAGCGUUGUCCGGAUUUAUUGGGCGUAAAGCGAGCGCAGGCGGUUUCUUAAGUCUGAUGUGAAAGCCCCCGGCUCAACCGGGGAGGGUCAUUGGAAACUGGGAGACUUGAGUGCAGAAGAGGAGAGUGGAAUUCCAUGUGUAGCGGUGAAAUGCGUAGAUAUAUGGAGGAACACCAGUGGCGAAGGCGGCUCUCUGGUCUGUAACUGACGCUGAGGCUCGAAAGCGUGGGGAGCAAACAGGAUUAGAUACCCUGGUAGUCCACGCCGUAAACGAUGAGUGCUAACUGUUGGAGGGUUUCCGCCCUUCAGUGCUGCAGCAAACGCAUUAAGCACUCCGCCUGGGGAGUACGACCGCAAGGUUGAAACUCAAAGGAAUUGACGGGGGCCCGCACAAACAGUGGAGCAUGUGGUUGUAAUUCGAAACAACGUCGAAGAACCUUACCAGGACUUGACAUCCGUUUGACCACUCCAAGAAAUAAAAGCUUUCUCCUUCGGGGUACAAGAGUGAACAGGUGGUGGCAUGGGUUGUCUGUCAGUCCUCGUGUCGUCGAGAAGGGAGGGAUUAAGUUCUCCGCAACCAGACGCAAAGCUCUUAUCUUGUCAAUUGCGCAUCAUUCUUAGUUCGACUACAUCCUAGCUGAGACUUGCCCGGUGGACAGAACCGGUCAGGAAGUGUACUUGAGGAGUUGGGACGUGCAAAUCAACACGCCCCUUAUUUGACCUGGGUCUACACACGUGCUACAAUGGCUGAAGUACAACGAGUCGCUAGACCGCGAGGUCAUGCAAAUCUCUUAAAGCUUCUCUCAGUUCGGAUUGCAGGCUGCAACUCGCCUGCAUGAAGCCGGAAUCGCUAGUAAUCGCGGAUCAGCACGCCGCGGUGAAUACGUUCCCGGGCCUUGUACACACCGCCCGUCACACCACGAGAGUUUGUAAGCACUCUUGAUACGUCGGCUGCAAGGUAACUCUGUUUGGAACCCAGCCCCCUAUUGAGUUUUCCC
rnacentral:rRNA from 1 species